CUAGCUUAUACCAUGAUGUAGCCCAUAGUUUUCUUUUCAUGAAAGCUGGACAAGAAGGACUGUUCACUAUUUUAUUCCAUAUGCUCUUCUCAAAGAGCAUUUUAACACUUUCAGAUUCCAUAGGCUGAAAAUGAUAUUUUUGCCGUCUUAAACAUGUUUGUUAUUAAAAAUAGCAUAACCUGAAAUAUUUCAGUGUUAGUUUUAUGUGAAACUUUGUAAGUGAUAUAUUUUGAAGUCACAAAAAUUUUUCCCCAGAUUGGAGCUGAUAUAAGUGGGUUUAAUGAAGAGACAGCUUAUGAACUUUACCUGAGUUGGAUGCAACUUGGGGCAUUUUAUCCCUUUUUUGGAAACCAUAAUGCAAUUGGAAAUAGGCAGGAAAAAGACCCUGGGGCGUUUGGAGAAGAGUUGCUGCGAUUUCCUGUUCUGCAUUAAGGAUGAGGUACUUCUUGUUGCCUGACUUAUGCACCCACUUCUACCAUUCUCCUGUCAGUGGAAUUGAUGCAUGAUCUAGAUUUACAUCAGGUCCUCAGGUUCAUGAAAUUGAUGGAGCAUUCCUUGGGGGCCAGCUUUCACGAUUGCUCCGGUCUUAGAGGGGAGCAUAAUAGAGAUGAUACUCCAUGA
rnacentral:lncRNA from 1 species